GACGAACGCUGGCGGCGUGCUUAACACAUGCAAGUCGAACGGAAAGGCCUGCUUUCCCUUGUGGAUUGCGGGUACUCGAGUGGCGAACGGGUGAGUAACACGUGAGUGAUCUGCCCCCAACUUGGGUAUAAGCCUGGGAAACUGGGUCUAAUUCCCGAUAGGACUGCAGGGUGGUGCCUGUGGUGGAAAACGAUUUUCUAGUGGUUGGGGAUGAGCUCGCGGCCUAUCAGCUUGUUGGUGGGGUAAUGGCCUACCAAGGCGGCGACGGGUAGCCGGCCUGAGAGGGUGGACGGCCACAUUGGGACGGAGAUACGGCCCAGACUCCUACGGGAGGCAGCAGUGGGGAAUAUUGCACAAUGGGCGGAAGCCUGAUGCAGCGACGCCGCGUGGGGGAUGACGGCCUUCGGGUUGUAAACUCCUUUCGACCGCGAGGAAGCCACCUGGUUGGAAGGGUGGUGACGGUAGUGGUAGAAGAAGCACCGGCUAACUACGUG
rnacentral:rRNA from 1 species